rnacentral:tRNA from 1 species
AAAAAACGGGAAACAACUUAUAGAUAAGCAAAUAAAAGAAUUAAAUGAAGCAGAUGAAAAAUUUGAACGUC